UCGAGGGCAGAGUGUUAAGCUGCAAACAGUCAGUCUUGCCUUCUGGGGACUUUUGGGCAAAUGUCCCUAUUUGGACCCGAGGCCAUGAGAAAUUCGUUGUCUUUCACGCACACGUACAAUGGACUGAGAAAUCUCCAGGCGGUCAGAAAGUUGGCUUCUUUGCCGCCACCCUCGGCUGCUGACACCACUCAGUAACUCAAAGGCACUGGAGUGGUCUCGAAUCCCCAACUCCCCAAUUGUCCUGCACUCAGAAAUAACCAAAAGCUUUGGCGGCUGCCAAAAAAAGGAGAGAGAAAGAAAAACCCCAGGAACACACCAAAUCCAUGUCCAACUCCUUUGCCCCUUAGAACAAAACCCAUUGCAGACACACACAAAGAAGGGAGGCAAGACAAAGGAAAGGCCAGGUCACACUUGACAAGGGGCUUUCUUGUCGUUUCCAAAACAGAACUGUCCUCCAUUAGAAUGCUCUUGUUGCUCGGAUGUUGGUGCGGGAAAGGAGGGGCUCACAACUCUCAAAACAAAAGCAAGACUUGGCGGGUGGGAGGCCCUGGGGAGGCGCCUUCUCCCUGCACACUUCUGCGCCUUUGAAUGCCCGCAGAUCGGGGUCCAGCGCAGGCAGCUGUUAUUAUCUCAGCAACUCCGAGGGCCCCGGCGCCAGGGAGUGUGUCCCGAGCAGGUGAGCACCAUCUGCCCGACUCGGAUGAGAUGCCCCUCUCCCUGCCUGCUGCCGCCAGCAGGCUCUCAGGCCCUGGGGAACCACAGCCAGCUUGCAUACCCUCCCUGGAUUUGGUACGUCAACUCUCAGGCAGGCUGCCCCUCCUCAGUCGCUACCUGGCGGUUAAGAACACUGGUCAACCCUGAAAGAGAUUUCUUAAGGCUUUCUGCUAGGGAGGACGUGCAGAGUCAGGGACAUAAGAAAACAGAGUCCACUGACACACCCUCCCAGGGGCUAAUUUUAAGAAGGGUUUUUAAUUGAUCUAUAAAGAAAAAAAAAUUCUACCUGCCUUUUAAAAAGCACUCCCUGCAUUAGCUGAAACAUUCCCAACACACCCUAGCCCAUUUCCUCCCUCCCUGGCCCUCCCAGGUUUAAUGGGGGGUAAGUGACUCCCUGAUGCAAUCUACAAGGCGGGGUGGGUCCAGACCACAGGGAGGGAGGAAGCUGGGUGGGAAGCAGGUCUGCCGGGCAGGGCUCAGAAGGGUGGACUCUGAAGGCCUGCAGUUCUGGCUCUGCCUUUCCCUCCCCUCCCCCACUAUUUUACAGACUCCGGUGUUUUUGCUGCUGGGAGACUAAACAACUGAGACAUCUACACCACGUGACAAGCAGAUGACCCACCCUGCUCUAAAAGGAAGAGCGAUGGUUCUCACCAAGAACACAGGUUCUACCGUCUUCAAGUGGAGGAUACGCUAAAUUACUGUCAGUAUGAAACCCAUAAAAGUGAGGCUAGACCGGCGGCUUGGUGGGUAAGAGCACUUGCUGCACGAGUGUGAAGGCACACACAACAGCUGGGCAAUGGCUACCUGGGCCUCUUCCUCCAGCAAGUGGAUCCUGAGAGCUCUGUGCCUAACCAGCCAAAUAAAUAAGUCCGUGGCUCUAGAGACUCACUGACACCUACAGCUGCCCGCCCCAACUGCAUAGUACGCCAUGGCUGACCACAGCACCCAUACAAAUUCAUCUGCAUCUGACCAUCUCUGUUUCUGUCUAGCGUCCAUGGAAAGCAACAGCCUAUUGGGGAAAAGUCUCCAGCACAGGAAGUGUUCACUGGACCGACAAACAUGCCUGGGGUCGUACUAGGGUUACGGCCGUGGAGCCGACUCGGAUUUGUGGAAAUGAGCCAUCCAAGACAAUGGGUGUGCAAGGCACAGAAAUCAGCUCCAGAUGCAGGCCAGAGCCAGCUGCCCAGGGACCAGCAAGGGGAGUUGGUGUUCUUAUUCUGUGUGUGAGCAAGCUGAAGUCUGGAGCACCACCUCAGCUGUGCCAGAGCACACCCAGCAGGGGAAGGACCAGGAAGCAACCAAACAGGCAGCAAGAUGGUACCGUUUUUACAUUCUCUGCGACAACCCACAAAAGUAAAGGCUGCUUCCCCACCCCAAACUGGCACGUAAGAGAAGCAGGGCUCCAAGGAGCUGGCCCCCUUCUCACCUCUAAGAUCUAGGGGUCUCCCCUCCCCCAACACAUGGGUUCCCACUCCAUCCCACCGCAGGAGCAGGACUACAAACAGCACCUGCUGUUCGCCCAGGUCUCCUCUCACUGACACUGCACAGGUACUAAGAACAUUUGCUUUGGAUGGGUGGAGGGGAAGGAGAGCCAGGACCAGGGUGAACGCCUCUCAGAGAUAAAGCUUGCAAACUUACUAAGAUGGAAUGAAUAACCACAGGAAAGAGGCUCUCCUGGGGCAAGAGAAAGCUCCCAACACAGCCCACUUGGGGUGCAACCUCAGCCCCAAUGCAAGCCCACUACCUGUGCUACAAUGUUCCCCCACCCCCCACCAUCUGUUAAUAAUCAACCCAACCCUCCAGGCCGGCGCCAGCUUCCAAGAAGACAAUGACUACCUCCAGGAAAAUGGCCAGAAGCAGG